AUUGAACGCUGGCGGAAUGCUUUACACAUGCAAGUCGAACGGUAGAGGGGGCAACCCCUCGAGAGUGGCGAACGGGUGAGUAAUAUAUCGGAACGUGCCCAGUCGUGGGGGAUAACGUAGCGAAAGUUACGCUAAUACCGCAUACGAUCUAAGGAUGAAAGCGGGGGAUCGCAAGACCUCGCGCGAUUGGAGCGGCCGAUAUCAGAUUAGGUAGUUGGUGGGGUAAAGGCUCACCAAGCCAACGAUCUGUAGCUGGUCCGAGAGGACGACCAGCCACACUGGAACUGAAACACGGUCCAGACUCGUACGGUAGGCAGCAGUGGGGAAUUUUGGACAAUCGACGCAGGUCUGAUCCAGCCAUUCCGCGUGCAGGAUGAAGGCCCUCGGGUUGUAAACUGCUUUUGAACGGAACGAAAAGGUCUCUCUUAAUACGGGGGACUCAUGACGGUACCGUAAGAAUAAGCACCGGCUAACUACGUGCCAGCCGCCGCCGUAAGAC
rnacentral:rRNA from 1 species